rnacentral:misc_RNA from 1 species
GAUGAAGAACGCAGUGAAAUGGGAUAAGUAAUGUGAAUUGCAGAAUUCAGUGAAUCAUCGAAUCUUUGAACGCACAUUGCGCCCGCUAGUAUUCUGGCGGGCAUGCCUGUCCGAGCGUCAUUUCAACCCUCAAGCCCCCGGGCUUGGUGUUGGGGAUCGGCGAGCCUCCGCGCCCGCCGUCCCCUAAAUCUAGUGGCGGUCUCGCUGUAGCUUCCUCUGCGUAGUAGCACACCUCGCACUGGGAAACAGCGCGGCCACGCCGUUAAACCCCCAACUUCUGAACGUUUGACCUCGGAUCAGGCAGGAAUACCCGCUGAACUUAAGCAUAUCAAUAAGCGGAGGA